CACGUGGGUAUCUGCCUCGUACUUCGGGAUAAGCCUGGGAAACUGGGUCUAAUACCGGAUAGGACCUUCCUUUAGUGUGGAAGGUGGAAAGUUUUUUCGGUACGAGAUGAGCCCGCGGCCUAUCAGCUUGUUGGUGGGGUAAUGGCCUACCAAGCCGACGAUCCAUAGCUGGUUUGAGAGGAUGAUCAGCCACACUGGGACUGAGACACGGCCCAGACUCCUACGGGAGGCAGCAGUGGGGAAUAUUGCACAAUGGGCGGAAGCCUGAUGCAGCAACGCCGCGUGCGGGAUGACGGCCUUCGGGUUGUAAACCGCUUUCGCCUGUGACGAAGCGUGAGUGACGGUAAUGGGUAAAGAAGCACCGGCUAACUACGUGCCAGCAGCCGCGGUGAUACGUAGGGUGCGAGCGUUGUCCGGAUUUAUUGGGCGUAAAGGGCUCGUAGGUGGUUGAUCGCGUCGGAAGUGUAAUCUUGGGGCUUAACCCUGAGCGUGCUUUCGAUACGGGUUGACUUGAGGAAGGUAGGGGAGAAUGGAAUUCCUGGUGGAGCGGUGGAAUGCGCAGAUAUCAGGAGGAACACCAGUGGCGAAGGCGGUUCUCUGGGCCUUUCCUGACGCUGAGGAGCGAAAGCGUGGGGAGCGAACAGGCUUAGAUACCCUGGUAGUCCACGCUGUAAACGGUGGGUACUAGGUGUGGGGUCCAUUCCACGGGUUCCGCGCCGUAGCUAACGCUUUAAGUACCCCGCCUGGGGAGUACGGCCGCAAGGCUAAAACUCAAAGGAAUUGACGGGGCCCCGCACAAGCGGCGGAGCAUGCGGAUUAAUUCGAUGCAACGCGUAGAACCUUACCUGGGUUUGACAUGGAUCGGGAGCGCUCAGAGAUGGGUGUGCCUCUUUUGGGGUCGGUUCACAGGUGGUGCAUGGCUGUCGUCAGCUCGUGUCGUGAGAUGUUGGGUUAAGUCCCGCAACGAGCGCAACCCUUGUCUUGUGUUGCCAGCACGUAAUGGUGGGGACUCGCGAGAGACUGCCGGGGUUAACUCGGAGGAAGGUGGGGAUGACUUCAAGUCCUCAU
rnacentral:rRNA from 1 species